AUAAACCAACAUCAGUGUCUAUAUUCUGUCCCAGCUACAGAACAACAGAAGAGACAGCGGUUGUGUUUCAUAUUUUAACAACAACAACGUGCCGGCUGCGGUUCGUGUUAGCUUGUGUGUGUUUGCUAAUUGCUUCACAUCUCACUGCUUCAGUAACGAGGGUCAGUACAAAGCUGCUUUGCCUCGACACUGACCCUCGUAAAAGGAUCAGUACCAACCAUACCAGACCCAGCAAACUGCACCUGAGCAACAGUCAAUCCAUCACCAGCAGAUUAAACAGGAGUACCAGGUUACAGAUCUGGGUCUGGGUCUGCACUCUGAAAGUGAGUCCAGCACCUCCAGAACCUCCUUCAUCUCCCAUCCAGAGAGACCCUUCCAUCGCAGCAGGGCGGGCAGGAGCUCCUUGUCCUCUCUGUGAUUGAGAGGGAAACACAGAGCAGAGUCUGAGAUGGUGUCGUGGAGACUCUCAGCAUCUUCAGUUACUGUCUGUCCAACAUCAGGACUCCAGCACUUUCUCAGUUUCUUCUGGCUGCUUCGGAUGAGAUGUUUGAGGAUGUUCUCCAGAUGUGCUCUGACCUGUUUCUGUGGACAAUAAGAGGCAGAAACAGCUGAGAAAUAGCUCCUGAGAAGAAGAGGAUGUAUCAACAGAGAGUGAUGGAUGAGGCCUACAAGCUCAUCGCUCACACUCACCUCAAACAUCUCGUCCGAAGCAGCCAGAAGAAAGAAGAAGAAGUGCUGGAGUCCUGAUUUUGUGCAAAAAGUAACUGAAGAUGCUGAGAGUCUUCACGACACCAUCUCAGACCUGGCCCCUGGUGUCCAACAGAGGAACCUCAUGCUGCUGAAAAUCUCAGAGCUGCUGGGCUGCAACGACAUCGACGCAGUGAGGCUCACAGUUGCGAGCAUGCAGUCAGAAUGUCCCACAUGGAGACCUGCCUCCCAUGAACAGUUGGAGGGGAGUUGCUUUUAAAACCCACACACAGAUCCAUAUUCCACCGCAUCUGGUCUGUGUACCAGCGGGUGAACAGUGGACUUGUCUUCAGCUUCAGGUGGAACAGCUCUGACCUGUAUGGUGAUCAGACCUGGAGAGGAGAGACACCUGGUCCAACAAGGAUCAUCGCCAUUCCAUGGCAAGAAGAUCCUCCAGGACAGGGACCACAGUGGGGAUGAUAAAGCCACACCGACCAAGACAUGCGCCCAUCGAGACGCCCACUGUGAGUCUCAAACUCCCUUGUUCCUAGACAGUCCAGCCACUCCACAACCUUACUCAACCCCCCCUCUUGAUCCAACAGCCCCGACCCCCCUUCCCUAUCCUUUUUGAAAUCUUCUACCAAUUUAAAUAAACUACCUUAACGUUUAACUGUGGCAUGGUCUGAAUAUGCUCUGGUACCUGCCUCUUCCUCGCAGCCAAUAAUGUGACCACAUUUUUAUAUUGUGGCACAGUUACAGCUCUUAUAAAUGUACACAGAGGGCCAAAG